GGACAGGUAGCUCAGUUAGUUAGAGCACUCUUCUAGAAUAUGGAAGGUCCUGGGUUCAAUCUCCGGCCAGUCCA
rnacentral:tRNA from 1 species